ensembl:lncRNA
GGGGACAUGGGGACAUGGGGACAUGGGGACAGGGGGACAUUAGGACAUUGGGACACUGGGGACAUUGGGAUGUGGGGACGUGGGGACAUUGAGGGCAUUGGGGAUAUGGGGACAUGGGGAUGUGGGGACGUGGGGACAGGGGGACAGGGGGACAUUGGGAACAUGGGGACAUGGGGACAUUGGGGAUGUGGGGAUGUGGGGACAUGGGGACAUUGGGACAGGGGGACAUUAGGACAUUGGGACAUUGGGGACAUUGGGAUGUGGGGACGUGGGGACAUUGAGGGCAUUGGGGAUAUUGGGACAUGGGGACAUUCGGGACAUGGGGAUGUGGGGACAUGGGGACAUUGGGGACGUGGGGACAUGGGGACAUUGGGACGUGGGGACAUGGGGACACGGGGACACUCACGUGUGGCGUCGGUGCUGCUGCGGCUGUAGGAGCUGCGCACGCGGUAUUGAACCACGGGUUCACCAUGGGGAGCAAAGGCCGCACUGCGGGCAUGGGGACAUGGGGACAUGGGGACAUGGGGACAUGGGGACGUGGGGGCACGGGGACGUGGGGACGUGGGGACAUGGGGACAUGGGGACAUGGGGACACGGGGACAUGGGGACAUGGGGACACGGGGACACGGGGACACGGGGAGAUUGGGGACGUGGGGACGUGGGGACGUGGGGACGUGGGGACAUGGGGACAUUGGGGACAUGGGGACAAUGGGGACAUUGGGGACAUGGGGACAAUGGGGAUAUGGGGACGUGGAGAUGUGGGGACAAUGGGGACAUGGGGACAUGGGGACAAUGGGGACAUUGGGGACAUGGGGACAAUGGGGACAAUGGGGAUAUGGGGACGUGGAGAUGUGGGGACAAUGGGGACAAGGGGACAUGGGGACAGGGGGACAUGGCGAUGUGGGGACAUUGGGACAUGGGGACAUGGGGACAUGGGGACAAUGUGGAUAUGGGGACAUAGGGACAUGGGGACAUUGGGGAUGUGGGGAUGUGGGGACAUGGGGACAUGGGGACAUUGGGGACUUGGGGACACGGGGACGUGGGGACAUGGGGACAAUGGGACACAGGGACGUGGGGACACUGGGGAUGUGGGGAUACUGGGACAUGGGGGCAUUGGGACAUGGGGACGUGGGGACAUUGGGACAUGGGGUCAUGGGGACAUUGGGACAAUGGUGAUAUGGGGACAUAGGGACAUGGGGACAUUGGGGACGUGGGGACAAUGGGGACAAUGGGGAUAGGGGGAGAUUGGGGAGAUUGGGGACAUGGGGACAAUGGGGACAAUGGGGACAUGGGGACAUGGGGAUAUGGGGACAAUGGGGACAUGGGGACAAUGGGAAUGUGGGGACAUUGGGAACAUUGGGGACGUGGGGACGUGGGGACGUGGGGACGUGGGGACAUGGGGAUGUGGGGACAUUGGGACACGGGGACAUGGGGACAUUGGGGACACGGGGACAUGGGGACACGGGGACAUUGGGGACAUUGGGGACAUGGGGACACGGGGACCCUGGCCCCCUCACCCGUAGCGCGUGUCCUUGCGGCGCCUGCACGCGGCUCCCAGUGCUCCCAGCAGCGCCAGCACCGUGACUGCGCCCGCUGCCACCAGCAGCCACCAGGGGCGGCCUGCACCCACACCAGUACGGACCAGUACAGACCAGUACAGAGCAGUGCCAGACCAGUACAGACCAGUACAGAGCAAUACAGACGAGUACAGAGCAGAGCCAGACCAGUACAGACCAGUACAGAGCAGAACAGAGCAAUGCCAGACCAGUACAGAGCAGUGCCAGACCAGUACAGACCAGUACGGACCAGUACAGACCAGUACAGAGCAGUGCCAGACCAGUACAGAGCAAUACAGACCAGUACAGAGCAGAGCCAGACCAGUACAGACCAGUACAGACCAAU